rnacentral:rRNA from 1 species
AUUGAACGCUGGCGGCAUGCCUUACACAUGCAAGUCGAACGGCAGCGCGGGAGCAAUCCUGGCGGCGAGUGGCGAACGGGUGAGUAAUAUAUCGGAACGUGCCCAGUAGUGGGGGAUAGCCCGGCGAAAGCCGGAUUAAUACCGCAUACGACCUACGGGUGAAAGGGGGGGAUCGCAAGACCUCUCGCUAUUGGAGCGGCCGAUAUCAGAUUAGGUAGUUGGUGGGGUAAAGGCCUACCAAGCCUGCGAUCUGUAGUUGGUCUGAGAGGACGACCAGCCACACUGGGACUGAGACACGGCCCAGACUCCUACGGGAGGCAGCAGUGGGGAAUUUUGGACAAUGGGCGCAAGCCUGAUCCAGCAAUGCCGCGUGCAGGAAGAAGGCCUUCGGGUUGUAAACUGCUUUUGUCAGGGAAGAAAUCCUCUAGGCUAAUACCUUGGGGGGAUGACGGUACCCGAAGAAUAAGCACCGGCUAACUACGUGCCAGCCGCCGCUGUAAGAC